rnacentral:tRNA from 1 species
GUCAAGGUGGUGGAGUGGUUAACACGUUCGCCUGCUAUUACCUCGGUAAAGUCAGCGGAUGCCUUCUGGGCGCGCAGGUUCGAAUCCUGUCCUUGACG